rnacentral:rRNA from 2 species
CCUACGGGAGGCAGCAGUAGGGAAUCUUCCGCAAUGGACGAAAGUCUGACGGAGCAACGCCGCGUGAGCGAAGAAGGCCUUCGGGUCGUAAAGCUCUGUUGUUAGGGAAGAACAAGUAACGCAGUAACUGGCGUUACCGUGACGGUACCUAACGAGAAAGCCACGGCUAACUACGUGCCAGCAGCCGCGGUAAUACGUAGGUGGCAAGCGUUGUCCGGAAUUAUUGGGCGUAAAGCGCGCGCAGGCGGUUCCUUAAGUCUGAUGUGAAAGCCCACGGCUCAACCGUGGAGGGUCAUUGGAAACUGGGGGACUUGAGUGCAGAAGAGGAGAGCGGAAUUCCACGUGUAGCGGUGAAAUGCGUAGAGAUGUGGAGGAACACCAGUGGCGAAGGCGGCUCUCUGGUCUGUAACUGACGCUGAGGCGCGAAAGCGUGGGGAGCAAACAGGAUUAGAUACCCUGGUAGUCCACGCCGUAAACGAUGAGUGCUAAGUGUUAGAGGGUAUCCACCCUUUAGUGCUGUAGCUAACGCAUUAAGCACUCCGCCUGGGGAGUACGCUCGCAAGAGUGAAACUCAAAGGAAUUGACGG